CCUGCCCAAGAGAUCGGGAUAACACCUGGAAACAGAUGCUAAUACCGGAUAACAACAGAUGAUGCCUAUCAACUGUUUAAAAGAUGGUUCUGCUAUCACUCUUGGAUGGACCUGCGGUGCAUUAGCUAGUUGGUAGGGUAACGGCCUGCCAAGGCGAUGAUGCAUAGCCGAGUUGAGAGACUGAUCGGCCACAUUGGGACUGAGACACGGCCCAAACUCCUACGGGAGGCAGCAGCU
rnacentral:rRNA from 1 species